AUUUGGUGAUGGUGGUGGAAUAAACAUAAAUUGAACAAUGUGCACAUGUAUGAACUAAUUCAUACACAAUGUUCAUGCCAAUAAUAGAUGUGUUUCUAACUGAGGUAAAACACUUCAUAUGUUAUUUAAUCCAAAUCAUUUAGAAAGAAAAGUAU